CCUACGGGCGGCAGCAGUGGUGAAUAUUGGACAAUGGGCGAAAGCCUGAUCCAGCCAUGCCGCGUGUGUGAAGAAGGCCUUCGGGUUGUAAAGCACUUUCAGUGGGGAAGAAAGCCUUGGGGCUAAUACCCUCGAGGAAGGACAUCACCCACAGAAGAAGCACCGGCUAACUCCGUGCCAGCAGCCGCGGUAAUACGGAGGGUGCGAGCGUUAAUCGGAAUUACUGGGCGUAAAGCGCGCGUAGGCGGUCUGAUAAGCCGGUUGUGAAAGCCCCGGGCUCAACCUGGGAACGGCAUCCGGAACUGUCAGGCUAGAGUGCAGGAGAGGAAGGUAGAAUUCCCGGUGUAGCGGUGAAAUGCGUAGAGAUCGGGAGGAAUACCAGUGGCGAAGGCGGCCUUCUGGACUGACACUGACGCUGAGGUGCGAAAGCGUGGGUAGCAAACAGGAUUAGAUACCCUAGUAGUC
rnacentral:rRNA from 1 species